UACGUAGGGGGCAAGCGUUGUCCGGAAUCAUUGGGCGUAAAGAGCGUGUAGGCGGCUUGUUAAGUCUUGCGUGAAAUCUCGGGGCUCAACCCCGGAGGGUCACUGGAAACCAACAGUCUUGAGUCCGGAAGAGGAGAGUGGAAUUCCUGGUGUAGCGGUGGAAUGCGCAGAUAUCAGGAGGAACACCAAUGGCGAAGGCAGCGUCUCUGGUACGUGACUGACACUGGAGACGCGAAAGCGUUGGGGAGCCGAACAGG
rnacentral:rRNA from 1 species